AGUGAACGCUGGCGGUAGGCCUAACACAUGCAAGUCGAACGGCAGCACAGUAAGAGCUUGCUCUUACGGGUGGCGAGUGGCGGACGGGUGAGGAAUACAUCGGAAUCUACUUUUUCGUGGGGGAUAACGUAGGGAAACUUACGCUAAUACCGCAUACGACCUACGGGUGAAAGCAGGGGAUCUUCGGACCUUGCGCGAUUGAAUGAGCCGAUGUCGGAUUAGCUAGUUGGCGGGGUAAAGGCUCACCAAGGCGACGAUCCGUAGCUGGUCUGAGAGGAUGAUCAGCCACACUGGAACUGAGACACGGUCCAGACUCCUACGGGAGGCAGCAGUGGGGAAUAUUGGACAAUGGGCGCAAGCCUGAUCCAGCCAUACCGCGUGGGUGAAGAAGGCGUUCGGGUUGUAAAGCCCUUUUGUUGGGAAAGAAAAGCAGCAGGUUAAUACCCCGCUGUUCUGACGGUACCCAAAGAAUAAGCACCGGCUAACUUCGUG
rnacentral:rRNA from 1 species